rnacentral:rRNA from 1 species
UACGGAGGAUGCGAGCGUUAUCCGGAUUUAUUGGGUUUAAAGGGUGCGUAGGCGGCGUGUUAAGUCAGCGGUAAAAGACCGGCGCUCAACGCCGGCAAGCCGUUGAAACUGGCAUGCUUGAGUUGGAGAGAAGUAUGCGGAAUGCGCGGUGUAGCGGUGAAAUGCAUAGAUAUCGCGCAGAACUCCGAUUGCGAAGGCAGCAUACCGGCUCCACACUGACGCUGAGGCACGAAAGCGUGGGGAUCAAA